rnacentral:rRNA from 1 species
UCGAGUGAAUCGUGUUAAGGAAUUCGGCAAAAUACCCCCGUAACUUCGGGAGAAGGGGGGCCCAGAGGGUGACGGGACUUGCUCCCCGAGCCUGAACGGCCGCAGAGACCAGGGAGAAGCGACUGUUUACUAAAAACACAGGUCCGUGCCAAGUCGCAAGACGAUGUAUACGGACUGACGCCUGCCCGGUGCUGGAACGUUAAGGGGACCGGUUAGCCUCACGGCGAAGCUGAGAACUUAAGCGCCAGUAAACGGCGGUGGUAACUAUAACCAUCCUAAGGUAGCGAAAUUCCUUGUCGGGUAAGUUCCGACCUGCACGAAUGGCGUAACGACUUCUCCACUGUCUCAACCACGAACUCGGCGAAAUUGCACUACGAGUAAAGAUGCUCGUUACGCGCAGAAGGACGGAAAGACCCCGGGACCUUUACUACAGCUUGGUAUUGGUGUUCGGUACGGCUUGUGUAGGAUAGGUGGGAGACUGUGAAGCUGACACGCCAGUGUCGGUGGAGUCAACGUUGAAAUACCACUCUGGUCGUUCUGGAUAUCUAACCUAGGUCCGUAAUCCGGAUCAGGGACAGUGCCUGGUGGGUAGUUUAACUGGGGCGGUUGCCUCCUAAAAGGUAACGGAGGCGCCCAAAGGUUCCCUCAGCCUGGUUGGCAAUCAGGUUUCGAGUGUAAGUGCACAAGGGAGCUUGACUGUGAGACUGACAAGUCGAACAGGGACGAAAGUCGGGACUAGUGAUCCGGCGGUGGCUUGUGGAAGCGCCGUCGCUCAACGGAUAAAAGGUACCCCGGGGAUAACAGGCUGAUCUUGCCCAAGAGUCCAUAUCGACGGCAUGGUUUGGCACCUCGAUGUCGGCUCGUCGCAUCCUGGGGCUGGAGUAGGUCCCAAGGGUUGGGCUGUUCGCCCAUUAAAGCGGUACGCGAGCUGGGUUUAGAACGUCGUGAGACAGUUCGGUCCCUAUCCUCUGCGCGCGCAGGAAACUUGAGAAGGGCUGUCCCUAGUACGAGAGGACCGGGAUGGACGAACCUCUGGUGUGUCAGUUGUUCUGCCAAGAGCACCGCUGAUUAGCUACGUUCGGGAGUGAUAACCGCUGAAAGCAUCUAAGCGGGAAGCAUGCUUCAAGAUGAGGUUUCCAUGGGGUUUACCCCGAGAGGCUCCCAGCUAGACUACUGGGUUGAUAGGCCGGAUGUGGAAUUGCGGUAACGCAUGGAGCUGACCGGUACUAAUAAGCCGAUAACUUGACUAA